rnacentral:rRNA from 1 species
AUGAACGCUGGCGGCGUGCUUAACACAUGCAAGUCGAACGAAGCACUUUAUUUGAUUUCCUUCGGGACUGAUUAUUUUGUGACUGAGUGGCGGACGGGUGAGUAACGCGUGGGUAACCUGCCUUGUACAGGGGGAUAACAGUUGGAAACGGCUGCUAAUACCGCAUAAGCGCACAGCAUCGCAUGAUGCAGUGUGAAAAACUCCGGUGGUAUAAGAUGGACCCGCGUUGGAUUAGCUAGUUGGUGAGGUAACGGCCCACCAAGGCGACGAUCCAUAGCCGAGCUGAGAGGGUGACCGGCCACAUUGGGACUGAGACACGGCCCAAACUCCUACGGGAGGCAGCAGUGGGGAAUAUUGCACAAUGGGCGAAAGCCUGAUGCAGCGACGCCGCGUGAGCGAAGAAGUAUUUCGGUAUGUAAAGCUCUAUCAGCAGGGAAGAUAAUGACGGUACCUGACUAAGAAGCACCGGCUAAAUACGUG